rnacentral:rRNA from 1 species
AUUGAACGCUGGCGGCAGGCCUAACACAUGCAAGUCGAACGAGUGGCGGACGGGUGAGUAAUGUCUGGGAAACUGCCUGAUGGAGGGGGAUAACUACUGGAAACGGUAGCUAAUACCGCAUACCAUCGAAUCUGCCCAGGUGGGAUUAGCUAGUAGGUGGGGUAAAGGCUCACCUAGGCGACGAGCCCUAGCUGGUCUGAGCGGAUGACCAGCAAGACGGGAACUGAGACCCGGUCCAGACUCCUACGGGAGGCAGCAGUGGGGAAUAGUGCACAAUGGGCGCAAGCCUGAUGCAGCCAUGCCGCGUGUAUGAAGAAGGCCUUCGGGUUGUAAAGUACUUUCAGCGGGGAGGCGUUACCCGCAGAAGAAGCACCGGCGAACUCCGUGCCAGCAGCCGCGGUAAUAC